GCUGAAUCUUGACUGUGUUUGGGGGUCAUUCUUCCCAAGUGGCUUGGCAACCCUUGUAUCCCUAGCUACAUCCUUUCAAAAUGAAAUUGAGGGCUUCUUGAUACAAUACAAUCCUUAAUAUGUUGUUUCAUAAAUAAAUCUGCCUAAUAAUUGCAUUAAGGAUUUCUACCUGACAACACAAUCUUUGGAUGUUUACUCAGAAGUGAGUCCCAAUUCAGUUACAGCACAGUCCUAACCAUGUUUAAAGGUAAAGGGACCCCUGACCAUUAGGUCCAGUCGUGGCCGACUCUGGGAUUGCAGCGCUCAUCUUGCUUUAUUGGCCGAGGGAGCCGACGUACAGCUUCUGGGUCAUGUGGCCAGCAUGACUAAGCUGCUUCUGGCGAACCAGAGCAGCGCACGGAAACGUCGUUUACCUUCCCGCUGGAGCAGUAUCUAUUUAUCUCCUUGCACUUUUGACGUGCUUUUGAACUGCUAGGUUGGCAGGAGCAGGGACCGAGCAAUGGGAGCUCACCCCAUCGCGGGGAUUCGAACCGCCGACCUUCUGAUUGGCAAGUUCUAGGCUCUGUGGUUUAACCCACAGUGCCACCCGUCUUUGAAACCAUGUUUACUCAACAAUAAAUUCCUUUGACAUCAACGGGAGUUAUUCCUAGAAACAUAGAGUAAGGAUUUCAGCCUUACCCAGGACUAAGCCUCACUAAAUUCACUGGGUCUUACUUCUGAGUAGACAUACGCAUAUAGUCUUGCAUUGUAUGCAUUCUAAGACUUUUUUUUUUGUACCUGUAAUUUUUUACUCUUUGUAAUAGGGUGGCUUGGGGCAAAUAAAUGCUAAGGCUUCUGUGAUGUUAAUAGCUGAAUGUGGAAGAGAGAUGUAGCUUGAAUGACAAGCUGCACCUUCUGCAAUUCCCUCUGCUAUGCGCUGUUGACUUUGCAAGAGCUCUGACCUUAGUAACACACAUCGUGUUAGGGUGCCACAGCUCACCUGACCUUUGCUGCUGCUUACCAGGAGGCCAAGAGGGCGAGAUGGUAAGGAUGUUGGUGCAGAACAAAUGCACCAGUAGGAAUGCCAGAUUUACUUUGCUGGUGCAUUUGCACCAUGCUGACCUUGUUGCUGCCUCAUCAUUCCCCCUUCUCUCCUGGAAAACAGCAGUGGCACAACUGAUUGGAGCUCAGAUGAGUGGGGCAGCCUCACCCCACCACCCGCUAAUGCUGUCCUCUUCUGUAUCUGGUUACUCUUUUAUGAUAUAAACAACAAGGCAUUCGAGCCAAUGGGAGGAUAAUUAAAUCACCCAUUAACUCAACAUUUUCUCCUUGGGAUACCGUGCUACCUGCUCUGCCCUUCCCCUAGAUUCAAUAGCAAGAGAUAACUGUACAUCUUGUCGAUGAUCACUGCACCAUCAGGUUUCUAGUAUUGCUACUCGAUAUCUGUGUUCUCCUCUAAUGCCAGGCACUCUGACUCAGGAGCCUUGGAUCUGAGGCUUCUUUGAAGUUCAUAUGCUUUUAACAGCCCUGCAGGAUUGUUCAUCUAAUCAAGAGAGACCACUAACUUGUCCAACUUGCAUACGCUGCAGUAAGUGGAUAGAUGCUGAACUGGUAAUAUGUGCAGGCAGUUAUUAAAAGCACUUCCCACAAGUGAGUUGGGCAGUCGCCUUCAUUCUCUUGUCCCCUCCAUCUCUGUCAUAAAAUUCUUUUAACUCUGUGUGUGGGCCUUUUCAGGUGUGUGUGUGUGUGUGUGUGUGUGUUUUGCUGCCCUUUCACUUAUUUUGUGGCUGCUCCUCUUGUGAGUUGGUUGUCCUAUUGCACCCCAACACAUGCCUUUGACUGAGUAGCAGCUUGCCGAAUUCUAAUCUACGUACAGUGCAAGCACUUUUAAUUUAUAGAGAAAGUGGAUACAUAGGCCACUCUCAUGUCUAGCCAUCCACUGAAUCUGGAUGUUGGAAGAUUUAGGACAGACAAAAGAAAGUACUUAUUCACACAGCACAUUGUUGAACUAUGGGAUUUGCUCCCACUAGAUGCAGCAAUGUCCAUCCGCUUAGCUCACGUCCAAUACCAUUUAUCUAAAGUACAUGGGCUCCUCCAAAGAAUCAUGGGGAUUAUAGUUCACACCUCACAAUUCCCACUACCCUUACCAAAUUGCAGUUCCCAGGAUUCUUUGGGGGGAAGCCAUGGUGUGGGUGUGACCUUGGGUGACUUAAAGGGGGAUUCAACAAAUUCAUGGAGGAUAAGGCUACUAGUCAUGGUGACUAUGUUCUGCCUCUACUAUCUGAGGCCAUAUGCCUUUGAGUACGAGUUGCCUGGAGAUAUAAGUGCAGAGAGUUCUCUUGCACUCAGGUCCUGGUUGUGGGCUUACGUUCUUAAGAUUAGUAGAUUGCAACUUGUAUCAUUUUGGUGCCAAAUAAAGACAUAUCUGUUUACCCAACCACAUGUAGGAUAUUAGAGUCUUUAUUUAUUGAGCAAGAGUAGCUAGCCUUGUGGUUUUUCAAUAACCUUUAUAGUUCUAAUGUUGUAUGUUAAACUGCUCUAAUUGUUUAUGUUGAUUUAUACUUUGGAUUGUUUUUCAGCUGGUUUUAUGCCACUUGUGUCCUCUGAUGUGCAUUGAACCCCGCCUGGGCACUAUUGUGAUGGAGGUCUGGCUGGAUAAAAAUAUCCUUAAUAAGCACUAAGCCAGCAUGUUUUUCUUCGGGUGUGUGCAUUUUUUGUGGGCCCAAUCAGCACUUUUUCCUCACUGAUCUUAUCUCUCAGGCUUCCCUUCUAAUUACCUUAUUUUGUAUGAAUGAAGCACUGAAUGUGGAAUAACAUCCACGCCUUCCGACACUUCCUCCUCUAACCAACCUGAAAAGAACUAUAGAAACUGAUUUGAAAUGGCUCUCAUUAAAAGCUUUCCCAGGAUGUUUGUUCUGCUUUUCUUUUGACUACUAUCUCACCUUUUAAUCUCUUCUUGGCCACUCCUGUACCUGGAUUGUAAAAGCAAACAUCUAUUGUCCCUAUAGCCAUAAUGAAUCUCCAGAAUCACUUUCUUAGAAGUGCUUCCUCCUUUUAAGUCUCUUUUAGGUCAGUUAUCUUAAUUAUUCCCCUGUCCCCUGUGAUUUUGUGUCUUUGACCAUAUCAGCUGUCUGCAGUUAGCAAGCAGCGCUUUGUUGUAAUUUUGUUUUCCUUAGGAACAUUGGGAGUUGGGGCAGGCAGAAGAGGGUUUGCUCUCAUUUCCUAUGAUGCGGAUCAGGCUGAUGCCGUGGGCUGUAGUUGAUGGGUGUUUACAUCUGUUUCAGCCAGAGCAGAAUUGUUCCCUUGUGUAUCUUCUAGCCAGACAGAAAGCCACCCACAUCUGCCAUUACAAAGUGUGUAGGAAAGUGCCUUGGUGUGAGAGUAAGGCAUACCAGGAAAUAAAUAAAUACCCAUUGGAGUUCAAUGACUGGGCACUGUAAAUACGCAUACACUUAGGUUGUAGAGGCACUGUCUAUUUCACACUUCCUGUUAUUAUGUAGUACAGAACUUUGUUGAAUAAGGAAACAGUGGGGGAUAUAGAAUAUCUCAUGUUAUUAUAACCACUAGACUUGCCAACACAGUGGUGUGCUACUUCACAUUUGAUCAUGGAGGGUGAUGUGAAAUAAAAGGUCCUCUGAGCUCAGCUGCAUCAUGAGUCAACAAAUACUUCCACCUAUGAAGGGUUAUUUGGCCAAGAGUUUGCAACCUAUUAGAGGUACCUGCAGGCAAAGAAAUAUGUUUAGUGAAGCUCCUUUGGGAGAUCUGGACAAAUAGCCUACUAACAAGAGCUGGAAUCCCCUCUGGUUUGCUUACCACCUGAUUAAAAAUCCAUGCCCAGAUUCACUCACUGCUCUGGGGCCAGGUGGAUGGGAGAAAACUAUUUCAUACUUUGUUUAGCCCAUUGUCUCACAGUGAUACUAGGUUUAGAACAAAGGUGUUCCAAAGGCAGAAAAAUCAACACUGAGCAGGGAGCAGCUUGCAUAUUUUACAAAGCUACUCUUCUAUAUUUUAGACCCCAAUCACCACCCUCGGAUUCCAGAACUGCUGUACCUGUACUUUCACCAUAGUCUCCAGUUUGGGCAUCCCUGAUGUCUAUAGUCCUAUUCCAUCCAUGCCUACACAUCUCCAUGGCAUGUAGGUUUCCAUUAUUGCCUAAAUAUACUGUGUGUAAGAUGGAGUGAAUUGAGGCCCAUCUUUGGAGAGCUACAGAGACUCAGGAUUAGGUAGGUGACUUUGCUGUCACUUGGAAAGGCCUUGCCUUAACAGUGUUAUCCUGGCAGAAGGUAGACUGCUGGACUUCUCAAUGAGAUUGUCCUAAAAAUCCCUGGGCAGCUGUGUCGGUUGUGAUGGGGUAAUGGGGCGUUGCUUCGCCCUGACUUUCACCUCUUUCCUUUGCCUCGUAAUUCCUUUGGGUCUAGCAAACAGUGGAAGGAGCACAUGUAGUAAUGGAGCAUCUCAGAAGGCACAGUUGUCCUGUAUGCUGGUGGAGGAAAAUCUACUGCCUUCUGCCAUGUGCUGUCCUAAACUGCCACCUUGGGGUCAACAUGUACUGAGUUCAGCCUGGCAGCAUCUCUU